UCGUCUGUAGUUUAAUAAAAAAUACCGGCAUUGGAAGCCGGCGAUCGAGAGACAUUUAGACUUGUGGACGAA
rnacentral:tRNA from 1 species